AUCUGGUUCUGUUCUGUAAAAGGGUUGGAUCCGACGCCUCUAGAAGGCUACUAUAGGCUCUCCUUCUCAACUCCUACUCAAUACGUCCACGUCGUGCAGAACGGUAACUUGUUGCUCAGAUCCAAGCUUGGGUACACGGGGAAACCCAACCCCUCGGGCGGAUGAGCGGCAAGGCAGAAUUGAGAGGU
rnacentral:ribozyme from 1 species